CAAGAGCAUCUUGAAGGCUUCAUGCGUGGAUCAGAGGACAAGCACAAAUAUCUAUGAAUAUAAUAUAUCACCACAAUAUGACAUCUCCUUUCAGAAGAACUGCCCUGGAUUGAGAAAGACAGUUCAUGUAGAAAUGCAACACUCUAUCGGUCCCUUUGCUGGCAGGGAAUCCAGCAUAUAGGCACAAUGUCAGACAGCAAUGAAGUGUGGGAGUCUCACGACUGUGGAAACCUGCACGGACUGAAGGAUUCACAGAACUCUAGUGGGUUCUCUGAACAUGAACUCAUUGACAUCAUGUAUAAUGCAUGCAACAACUCUAACACAGG